GAAACAUCAUUUUUACAUGAUAAUCCUCAAAACAGCAUAAGUUGUAGGUAGAUUGCAGAGGACUUUUGACCAUUUAUUUGAACUAACAAGUUCUAUCAUGAGAAGCUCCAGAGAAAUGCAACACACAACUUAGAGUAAUAUCCAGAAGAAAGAUUUUGAACUGAAGCGUCUGAUGAGUAUAUAUAGCAGAUGGAAGAAAUGCAACUUACACAACUUGGAGUAAUAUCCAAAUGUAAGAUUUUGAACUGAAGCAUCUGAUGACUAUGUAUCUCAGAUGGAAUGAAUGAUGCAGAAGUUGACUCUUCCAAGUGAAUAUUUCUUUUGGAUGUAUAACGUUUUUGUGUUUCUAACACUUCACUGAGUUCGUUCACUAAAGAAAACACCUUAUCCAAUAGGAUUGGAAGAUGUAAUUUUGAGAUGAUAGCAUGAUUAUACUUGUCAUAUUUGUACAUAGACGCACACAGAUGUAUUUGGAUAUCUGCAAAAUACUGACCAAUGAAUUUCUUAUUCGUUUGAAACUUACAGGUCUCAGAAUCCGUCUACUUUAAGUAGUUUUUGAAAUUUACAAGUUAUCCAAAAUCAGUAUUUAACUUUGU
rnacentral:lncRNA from 1 species